GACGAACGCUGGCGGCGUGCUUAACACAUGCAAGUCGAACGGAAAGGCCCUGCUUUUGUGGGGUGCUCGAGUGGCGAACGGGUGAGUAACACGUGAGUAACCUGCCCUUGACUUUGGGAUAACUUCAGGAAACUGGGGCUAAUACCGGAUAGGAGCUCCUGCUGCAUGGUGGGGGUUGGAAAGUUUCGGCGGUUGGGGAUGGACUCGCGGCUUAUCAGCUUGUUGGUGGGGUAGUGGCUUACCAAGGCUUUGACGGGUAGCCGGCCUGAGAGGGUGACCGGCCACAUUGGGACUGAGAUACGGCCCAGACUCCUACGGGAGGCAGCAGUGGGGAAUAUUGCACAAUGGGCGGAAGCCUGAUGCAGCAACGCCGCGUGCGGGAUGACGGCCUUCGGGUUGUAAACCGCUUUCGCCUGUGACGAAGCGUGAGUGACGGUAAUGGGUAAAGAAGCACCGGCUAACUACGUGCCAGCAGCCGCGGUGAUACGUAGGGUGCGAGCGUUGUCCGGAUUUAUUGGGCGUAAAGGGCUCGUAGGUGGUUGAUCGCGUCGGAAGUGUAAUCUUGGGGCUUAACCCUGAGCGUGCUUUCGAUACGGGUUGACAUGAGGAAAGGAGGGGAGAAUGGAAUUCCUGGUGGAACGGUGGAAUGCGCAGAUAUCAGGAGGAACACCAGUGGCGAAGGCGGUUCUCUGGGCCUUUCCUGACACUGAGGAACGAAAGCGUGGGGAGCGAAACAGGCUUAAAUACCCUGAUAGCCCACGCUGUAAACGGUGGGUACUAGGGGUGGGGUCCAUUCCACGGGUUCCGUGCCGUAGCUAACGCUUUAAGUACCCCGCCUGGGGAGUACGGCCGCAAGGCUAAAACUCAAAGGAAUUGACCGGGCCCCGCACAAACGGUGUAGCAUGCUGAUUAACUCGAUGCAACGCCUAGAACCUUACCUGGGUUUGACAUGGAUCAGGAGUGCUCAGAGAUGGGUGUGCCUCUUUUGGGGUCGGGUCACAGGUGGUGCAUGGCUGCCGUCAGCUCGUGUCGUGAGAUGUUGGGUUAAGUCCCCCAACGAGCGCAACCCUUGUUCACUGGUGCCAUCACGUAAUGGAGGGGACUCACUGGAGACCGCCGGGGGCAACUCGGAAGAAGGUGGGGCAUGACUUCCAGUCCUCAUGCCCCUUAUGUCCGGGUUUCAGGCAUGCAACAAUGGCUGGUACACACAGUGGCGAGCCUAUCACGGUGAGCGUAUUCUCGGGAAGCCCGGUCUCGGUUCCGAUUGGGGUCUGCAACUCGUACCCCUUGAAUCGGAGUCCCUAAUGAUUCUCGCAUUACCCACCCUGGCCUGAAUACGUUCCCGGGGCU
rnacentral:rRNA from 1 species